rnacentral:rRNA from 1 species
UACGUAGGGUGCGAGCGUUAAUCGGAAUUACUGGGCGUAAAGCGUGCGCAGGCGACUUUGCAAGACAGAUGUGAAAUCCCCGGGCUCAACCUGGGAACUGCAUUUGUGACUGCAAGGCUAGAGUACGGCAGAGGGGGAUGGAAUUCCGCGUGUAGCAGUGAAAUGCGUAGAUAUGCGGAGGAACACCAAUGGCGAAGGCAAUCCCCUGGGCCUGUACUGACGCUCAUGCACGAAAGCGUGGGGAGCAAACAGG